rnacentral:rRNA from 1 species
GGGGGGACGCAGUAGGAUAGGCGAAGCGUGCGAUUGGAUUGCACGUCUAAGCAGUAAGGCUGAGUACUAGGCAAAUCCGGUACUCAUUAAGGCUGAGCUGUGAUGGGGAGAAGACAUUGUGUCUUCGAGUCGUUGAUUUCACACUGCCGAGAAAAGCCUCUAGAUAGAAAAUAGGUGCCCGUACCGCAAACCGACACAGGUAGUCAAGAUGAGAAUUCUAAGGUGAGCGAGCGAACUCUCGUUAAGGAACUCGGCAAAAUGACCCCGUAACUUCGGGAGAAGGGGUGCUCUUUAGGGUUAACGCCCAGAAGAGCCGCAGUGAAUAGGCCCAAGCGACUGUUUAUCAAAAACACAGGUCUCUGCUAAACCGUAAGGUGAUGUAUAGGGGCUGACGCCUGCCCGGUGCUGGAAGGUUAAGAGGAGUGGUUAGCUUC